ACUUCUCUCUUCUGCCUCCUAGUGAAAAAGGUGCCUGCUUCUUCUUCUGCCAUAAGUUUCCUGAGGCUUCCCCAGCCGUGCGUAACUGAGUGAGGACCUAGAAUUUUAAUGUCUAAUAUGCGGUGUGAAUUAAAGAAGUGGCCUUGCUAUGCUGACCUUUUCAAUAUUCUAAUCUUUGCUUUGCUGACCUCUCAGGCCUCUUCCUGGCAACAGUUAGGCUUUUGAGAGGAGGGAGAGCUGAGACUGUUGGCUCCUUCCCAUUUAUGAGAGAGCCACAUGACAUCAGCCCAUAGACUGUGGAGAGUAUUCCAGAUCUAUCACAUUCUGCGAUUCUGCGAUUCCCAGAAGGCUGGUCAUGAAAAAAUUCCCUCUUCAGUUUACAUAUAUGGCAGUGAUGCACAACAUUGUUCUUUUGGUUGUGAAUACUUCGAAGAAGUAGAUGUGGUCCUGGUUGAUGGAUGAACAUUGAGGCCCUCAAGUGCAUAAAGGCACUUCUAGAUAUCUGUUGAGGCCUGGAAGGGGCAAAACAAUUCAGGAAGCAGUUGAAGAUAAAGGGGUUUACCAUGGAAGAGAAGAUCCAGGUGCCUUCAUGGAAAUGCUUGUGGUUGAAAAGAGAUGAAGAUGAGGGUCCCUGGAAAGAGGAAGAACCAGCCAGGAAAAUUAUACCAUUAGCAAGACUGGCAUCAGCAAGUAGUUCGCAGUGUUGGUUGUUCUUGGUUUCGCAGGAUUUUAUAGGAGAGUUUCUGUCAGGCCUUUGAGCCCAAGCUAAGCCAUCAUAUCCCCUGUGACCUACACGUUAUACAUCCAGAUGGCCUGAAGCAAUUGAAGAUCCACAAAAUAAGUGAAAAUAGCCUUAACUGAUGACAUUCCACCAUUGUGAUUUGUUUCCACCCCACCCUAACUGAUACAUAUAUUCUCCCCCACCCUUAAGAAAGUACUUCAGAAUAUUCUCUCCCGCUCUUAAGAAUGUGCUUUGUAUGCCUAUCCCAAACCUGUAAGAACUAAUGAUAAUCCCACCACCCUUUGCUGACUCUUUUUUUGGACUCAGCCCAUCUGCACUCAGGUGAAAUAAACAGCCUUGUUGCUCAC
rnacentral:lncRNA from 1 species